GAUGAAGAACGUAGCGAAAUGCUAUACUUGGUGUGAAUUGCAGAAUCCCGCGAAUCAUCGAGUCUUUGAACGCAAGUUGCGCCCGAAGCCAUUUGGUCGAGGGCACGUCUGCCUGGGUGUCACGCAUCGUUGCCCCCAACCCCAUUGCUUCUCCAAGAGACGAGGGCGGUUUGUGGGGCGGACAUUGGCCUCCCGUGAGCUUUUGAUUGCGGCUGGCCUAAAUUGAAGUCCUUCAUUGCGGGUGUCACGAUAAGUGGUGGUUGAAAAGCUCAAGCGAGUCGUGCGCACCAUGCGAUUGAGGUGAUGUUUUGGACCCUAAGGCGAUCUCGUUCCCAAUGGAGGAGCAUUCGUCACGAUCGCGACCCCAGGUCAGGCGGGGCUACCCGCUGAGUUUAAGCAUAUCAAUAAGCGGAGGA
rnacentral:misc_RNA from 1 species